rnacentral:rRNA from 1 species
CAAGUCGAACGAGUUCUGAUUAUUGAAAGGUGCUUGCAUCUUGAUUUAAUUUUGAACGAGUGGCGGACGGGUGAGUAACACGUGGGUAACCUGCCCUUAAGUGGGGGAUAACAUUUGGAAACAGAUGCUAAUACCGCAUAAAUCCAAGAACCGCAUGGUUCUUGGCUGAAAGAUGGCGUAAGCUAUCGCUUUUGGAUGGACCCGCGGCGUAUUAGCUAGUUGGUGAGGUAACGGCUCACCAAGGCAAUGAUACGUAGCCGAACUGAGAGGUUGAUCGGCCACAUUGGGACUGAGACACGGCCCAAACUCCUACGGGAGGCAGCAGUAGGGAAUCUUCCACAAUGGACGCAAGUCUGAUGGAGCAACGCCGCGUGAGUGAAGAAGGCUUUCGGGUCGUAAAACUCUGUUGUUGGAGAAGAAUGGUCGGCAGAGUAACUGUUGUCGGCGUGACGGUAUCCAACCAGAAAGCCACGGCUAACUACGUGCCAGCAGCCGCGGUAAUACGUAGGUGGCAAGCGUUAUCCGGAUUUAUUGGGCGUAAAGCGAGCGCAGGCGGUUUUUUAAGUCUGAUGUGAAAGCCCUCGGCUUAACCGAGGAAGUGCAUCGGAAACUGGGAAACUUGAGUGCAGAAGAGGACAGUGGAACUCCAUGUGUAGCGGUGAAAUGCGUAGAUAUAUGGAAGAACACCAGUGGCGAAGGCGGCUGUCUGGUCUGUAACUGACGCUGAGGCUCGAAAGCAUGGGUAGCGAACAGGAUUAGAUACCCUGGUAGUCCAUGCCGUAAACGAUGAAUGCUAGGUGUUGGAGGGUUUCCGCCCUUCAGUGCCGCAGCUAACGCAUUAAGCAUUCCGCCUGGGGAGUACGACCGCAAGGUUGAAACUCAAAGGAAUUGACGGGGGCCCGCACAAGCGGUGGAGCAUGUGGUUUAAUUCGAAGCAACGCGAAGAACCUUACCAGGUCUUGACAUCUUUUGAUCACCUGAGAGAUCAGGUUUCCCCUUCGGGGGCAAAAUGACAGGUGGUGCAUGGUUGUCGUCAGCUCGUGUCGUGAGAUGUUGGGUUAAGUCCCGCAACGAGCGCAACCCUUAUGACUAGUUGCCAGCAUUUAGUUGGGCACUCUAGUAAGACUGCCGGUGACAAACCGGAGGAAGGUGGGGAUGACGUCAAAUCAUCAUGCCCCUUAUGACCUGGGCUACACACGUGCUACAAUGGAUGGUACAACGAGUUGCGAGACCGCGAGGUCAAGCUAAUCUCUUAAAGCCAUUCUCAGUUCGGACUGUAGGCUGCAACUCGCCUACACGAAGUCGGAAUCGCUAGUAAUCGCGGAUCAGCACGCCGCGGUGAAUACGUUCCCGGGCCUUGUACACACCGCCCGUCACACCAUGAGAGUUUGUAACACCCGAAGCCGGUGGCGUAACCCUUUUAGGGAGCGAGCCGUCUAAGGUGGGACAAAUGAUU